rnacentral:ncRNA from 1 species
AUUAUCUAUUAUGGCAAAAAUUACACAUGCAAGCCUCCACGCCCCUGUGAAAACGCCCACCUAUUCCCACCAAGAAUAAGUGGAGCUGGUAUCAGGCUCAACUGCCCAUGACACCUAGCCCCGCCACUCCCUCAAGGGUAUUCAGCAGUGAUCAACAUUGUAAAUUAGCGCAAGCUAAAUUCAGUUACUAGCCAAGAUAACCGGUCAAUCUCGUGCCAGCCACCGCGGUCAUACGGGUAGGUUCAAAUAGAUAAUUUCGGCUCAAAGCGUGGUUAAAUAAUUUAUUAAAUAAAGCAAAAACCCAGCUUGGCUUUGAUAAGCUCCCGCUUUUAGAAACCCCAAUCACGAAAGUAGCUUUAAUCCUAUUGAAUCCACGAUCGCUAGGGCCCAAACUGGGAUUAGAUACCCCACUAUGCCUAGCCAUAAACUUUGAUAAUCUUCGCCUGGGAACUACGAGCGCUAGCUUAAAACCCAAAAGACUUGGCGGUGCCCUACACCUUCUAGAGGAGCCUGUUCUAUAAUCGAUAACCCCCGAUCCACCUCACCACCUCUUGCCAAUACCGCCUGUAUACCUCCGUCCUAAAUUGAUCCCUCAAGGGCUAUAGUCAGUUUAAUGGUUAACCACCAGUAAGACAGGUCAAGGUGCAGCGAAUGAGGUGGGAAGCAAUGGGCUACAUUUUCUACCUAUAGACUAUACGGAUAACUCGUGAUGAAACCUGAUUAGAAGGCGGAUUUAGCAGUAAAAGGGGAGUAGAGUGCUCCUUUAAAAUAGGCUCUAGGGCGCGCACAUACCGCCCGUCACUCUCUUCGACCCGCACAUUACAAUUUAUAAUACAAAUUUAGGGACAAGAAGAGGAAAGUCGUAACAUGGUAAGUCCACCGGAAGGUGGACUUGGA